rnacentral:tRNA from 1 species
GCCUUCGUGGUGUAGCGGGCAACACACUCGACGUGUAACUGAGAGAUCCGUGGUUCGAUUCCCGGCGAAGGCG